UACAUCACAAAUUAUGAGCGCGGCCUCCAUCCGUUCUGAACUGGACGAUAGCACGCGGGGGGGGAGACGACAGUUCAGCUAGUUUACGCCCUUAGAAGAACUUUUCUAUCGAGGGGAUCCUCGCUGAACAGUUGUGGGAUGGCAAUGAUAGAAUGCGAGGCCCCGAUGGCUGGUAUGCCACCGGGACUACAGUCGCUGUAGGUGCAGAUGAAGUCUUCUGAUCUAGGUGUGGCAUGCCGUCUAGUGUGAGUGAUUGUCUGGUAAUCCGAUACGAACGAGCCUACCUGCUAAUUAGUCAUCUCAUUUAUGGGCACGACUUCUUAGAGGGACUAUGCACAUCAAGUGCAUGGAAGUUGAGGCAAUAACAGGUCUGUGAUGCCCUUAUAUGUCCUGGGCUGCACGCGUGCUACACUGAUGCGAUGCAACAAGUGCCUAGCUAGACAUAGUAUGGCAAUCUGGAUAUAUGCCUCCUCUGGGGAUAGAUCUUUGCAAUUAUAGAUCUUGAACGAGGAAUUCCUAGUAAGUGCAAGUCAUCAUCUUGCAAUGUAUUAUGUCCCUGCCCUUUGUACACACCGCCCGUCGCUCCUACCGAUACCGGGUGAUCCGGUGAACCUGUUGGACCCUUUUGGGAAAAAUAAGUAAAUCAUAUCACCUAGAGGAAGGAGAAGUCGUGACAAGGUUUCCGUAGGGAACCUGCAGAACUAUCAUAAUUUACCCCGGGCCCUCACGCAGAGGCCGCACCAAGCUUUCUCCGUUAGUGAGUUGUCCAUGAGCUUUGCAGA
rnacentral:rRNA from 1 species